rnacentral:rRNA from 1 species
UACAGAGGGGGCAAGCGUUAUUCGGAAUUAUUGGGCGUAAAGGGCGCGUAGGCGGCCUGGCAAGUGGAAGGUGAAAUCCCUCGGCUUAACCGAGGAACUGCCUCCCAAACUGCUUGGCUUGAGACCGGGAGAGGUGAGUGGAAUUCCCAGUGUAGCGGUGAAAUGCGUAGAUAUUGGGAGGAACACCAGUGGCGAAGGCGGCUCGCUGGGACGGUACUGACGCUGAGACGCGAAAGCGUGGGGAGCAAACAGG